rnacentral:rRNA from 1 species
UUAUGGCUCAGGAUGAACGCUGGCGGCGUGCCUAACACAUGCAAGUCGAACGGGACUAUCAAGUGAUGUUUCGGACUGAACUUUAGUUAGUGGCGGACGGGUGAGUAACGCGUGGACAACCUGCCUCUCACUGGGGGAUAGCAGCUGGAAACGGCUGGUAAUACCGCAUGCGUUCAAUGUGCCGCAUGACGCAUUGAAGAAAGAUUUAUCGGUGAGAGAGUGGGUCCGCGUCUGAUUAGCCAGUUGGCGGGGUAACGGCCCACCAAAGCGACGAUCAGUAGCCGGCCUGAGAGGGUGAACGGCCACAUUGGGACUGAGACACGGCCCAAACUCCUACGGGAGGCAGCAGUGGGGAAUAUUGCACAAUGGGCGCAAGCCUGAUGCAGACCAACGCCGCGUGAGUGAAGAAGUAUUUCGGUAUGUAAAGCUCUAUCGGCAGGGAAGAAAGGCCCGCAAGGGAGAUGACGGUACCUGACUAAGAACGCCCCGGCUAACUACGUGCCAGCCGCCGC